AACUCCUACGGGGGCAGCAGUGGGGAAUAUUGCACAAUGGGGGAAACCCUGAUGCAGCGAUGCCGCGUGGAGGAAGAAGGUUUUCGGAUUGUAAACUCCUUUUAUCAGGGACGAUAAUGACGGUACCUGAAGAAAAAGCUCCGGCUAACUACGUGCCAGCAGCCGCGGUAAUACGUAGGGAGCGAGCGUUGUCCGGAAUUACUGGGUGUAAAGGGAGCGUAGGCGGGACGGCAAGUCAGAUGUGAAAACUAUGGGCUUAACCCAUAGCCUGCUUUUGAAACUGUUUUUCUUGAGUGAAGUAGAGG
rnacentral:rRNA from 1 species